AACUGUGGUUGGAAUUGUAGAAGAAGAGUGAAGAUGGGCUCUGUACGAUCAGCCACAUGUAGGCUCUCAAGCCAGGUCUGUGGAGUGCCCACAGCAGAUGUCUACAGGUGUGAUUUAAGGUAUACUUU
rnacentral:lncRNA from 1 species